CAGCCGCCGCGGUAAUACGGAGGGUGCAAGCGUUAAUCGGAAUUACUGGGCGUAAAGCGCACGCAGGCGGUCUGACAAGUCAGAUGUGAAAUCCCCGGGCUUAACCUGGGAACUGCAUUUGAAACUGUCAGGCUGGAGUCUUGUAGAGGUGGGUGGAAUUCCAGGUGUAGCGGUGAAAUGCGUAGAGAUCUGGAGGAAUACCGGUGGCGAAGGCGGCCCCCUGGACAAAGACUGACGCUCAGGUGCGAAAGCGUGGGGAGCAAACAGGAUUAGAUACCCCUGUAGUCCCUGUCUCUUAUAC
rnacentral:rRNA from 1 species